CUAGUACGAGAGGACCGGGAAGGAUGCACCUCUGGUGUACCAGUUAUCGUGCCUACGGUAAACGCUGGGUAGCCAAGUGCGGAGAGGAUAACUGCUGAAAGCAUAUAAGUAGUAAGCUCCCACAUAAAUAAGAAGUUGUGCGACAGCUACAAAGUAGGAAUUUAAUAAAAAAUAGAAUAAGGAUAUACAACCAAGAACUAAUCCCAGCGAAAAGGCAGAAUAAAUGGGGUUGGUAAGUAAUACUACUCCUAGACCCCCUAG
rnacentral:rRNA from 1 species